rnacentral:misc_RNA from 1 species
UCCGAGUUGUCCCCGGCAGUCUCUUUAGAGUCCCCACCAUUACGUGCUGGCAACUAAAGACAGGGGUUGCGCUCGUUGCGGCACUUAAGCCAACACCUCACGGCACGAGCUGACGACAGCCAUGCACCACCUGUGCAGGCUCCGUGGAGCGCCGGCUUUCACCGGCUUCACCCUGCAUGUCAAGCCCAGGUAAGGUUCUUCGCGUCGCAUCGAAUUAAUCCACAUAAUCCACCGCUUGUGCGGGUCCCCGUCAAUUCCUUUGUGUUUUAACCUUGCGGCCGUACUCCCCAGGCGGUCAACUUCACGCGUUAGCUUCGUUACCAAGGAAUUGCUUCCCCGACAACCAGUUGACAUAGUUUAGGGCGUGGACUAC